UACGUAGGGGACGAGCGUUGUCCGGAGUUACUGGGCGUAAAGCGCCCGCAGGCGGUCCGCUCAGUUUGCGCUGACAGCUCCUGGCUUAACUGGGAGAGCGGUGCGAAGACGGGCGGACUGAGAGGACCAGAGAGGGACAUGGAACUCCGGGUGUAGUGGUGAAAUGCGUAGAUAUCCGGAAGAACACCAAAGGCGAAGGCAGUGUCCUGGCUGGUACCUGACGCUGAGGAGCGAAAGCGUGGGGAGCGAACAGG
rnacentral:rRNA from 1 species